UCCUCAGCAUCUUUCUGUCAUCUGUUCAUUCCUGUUAACAUGGAUAUAGUCGUUGGGAAAGGGAAAGGAGAAAAGCAAUUCUUCACAGAUGGAUUUACGAUGGAAAAAUUAAGGAAGUUUGAAAUGAAUUGAAAUCUGAACCAGGAGCAGUUGAUACUUCCUCCUGCUGUAGACACUCAUUCACUCAACAUAUAUUUACUCAACAUUUAUGGAGUGCCAGUCACUAUUGACAAGCCACUGAAUGGAAAAGAAGAUAAUUUAUGAAGAACAUCUUCAGCAGAGUCUACGGAAAGUGGCAGCCACAAGGCAACUUGGGGUGAUGUCCCCGUGGUCACUACUGCCACGUGUUGUGAUGGGCUUUGGUAUUAGAAGGUUUUCAGGUCUCUCAGAUGAGUGGUUUAAUAUCAAGCCAGCAAUCACGGUGCAAGAUAAAGGACUGGGAGAUACACAAUUUCCUUCAAGAUGGGUCUCCAAGACCUUAUUGGAUUGGUGUGAUAUCCAGAAUACAAGCUCUCCAGCAGAAGCUGUUCCUUCCCAAACCUGGUGGGAAGUCCCUGAGCCACACUUAAAAGAGAUGCAGCAGCCAGAUCCCAGAGUCAACAAGGCAGGAACCAUCAGAUGA
rnacentral:lncRNA from 1 species